rnacentral:rRNA from 1 species
CCCUUAGAUGUUCUGGGCCGCACGCGCGCUACACUGACGAAUGCAACGAGCUUAUAACCUUGGCCGAAAGGUCUGGGUAAUCUCCAAAUUUCGUCGUGAUGGGGAUAGAUUAUUGCAAUUAUUAAUCUUCAACGUGGAAUGCCUAGUAAGCGCAAGUCAUCAGCUUGCGUUGAUUACGUCCCUGCCCUUUGUACACACCGCCCGUCGCUCCUACCGAUUGAAUGGUCCGGUGAAGCGUUCGGACCGUGGCCUUUGGACGGUUCGCCGUCUGUUGGCUGCGGGAAGUUCGUUAAACCUUAUCAUUUAGAGGAAGGAGAAGUCGUANCA